rnacentral:rRNA from 1 species
GCUGGCGGCAGGCCUAACACAUGCAAGUCGAGCGGUAACAUUUCUAGCUUGCUAGAAGAUGACGAGCGACGGACGGGUGAGUAACGCGUAGAAAUCUACCUAGUAGUGGGGGAUAGCCCAGAGAAAUUUGGAUUAAUACCGCAUACGCCCUACGGGGGAAAGCGGGGGAUCUUCGGACCUCGUGCUAUUAGAUGAGUCUGCGUCGGAUUAGCUUGUUGGUGAGGUAAUGGCUCACCAAGGCGACGAUCCGUAGCUGGUCUGAGAGGAUGACCAGCCACACUGGAACUGAGACACGGUCCAGACUCCUACGGGAGGCAGCAGUGGGGAAUAUUGCACAAUGGGCGCAAGCCUGAUGCAGCCAUGCCGCGUGUGUGAAGGAGGCCUUAGGGUUGUAAAGCACUUUCAGCAGUGAGGAAAGGGGUGUCGUUAAUAGCGCCAUCCUGUGACGUUAACUGCAGAAGAAGGACCGGCUAACUCCGUG